rnacentral:lncRNA from 1 species
UUAAAAUCUAUGUUGAACUUCAUAUUGCUAGCUUCUUAAAUGGGCACACUUUAGAUAGUAAUGGAAAAUUCUCUGGGUAAAAAACUUUUUUGUGCGUUUAUGAUAGGAAGCAGGAAAGGGCAACAGUGUUCUGACCUAUUUUUGAAAUAAAGCUUUGCUCUAUAAAAAAAAACUUGCUGAUUCAUUCUAUCUGUCACUUAGCCAAGACUAAUUAUUGUCUUCUGUGUGCCAAGAACUACAGAGAAUCCACAGAGAUGAGCAAGAAAUGGUUCUUCUUUAAUAGGAGUUUAUUUCCUAGUAAGUAGAAUCACAAAGGAAGUAAAUGUGACAAAGUAUUCUAGAUGUUACAGUAGAAAUAUAAACUAAGAAGGUAUGGGUAUGGUUAAUUUCUACCCCAAAGUCAAGCUUCUUGCAAAAGCAAUGGUAGUGGAUAACUAUGAUAAUGAACACAUUUUCACCAAGAAGAUUACUACUUCUGUCUUAAUAAAGAUGUCAUAUUAUUGGAUCCCUGAUAACUGGAUUCCUGCAUUAUCAACUCUAACAGGAGCUCUUUUUGUGCUGUGCCUCUAUGCCGUUGCAUGGUGCCUCUUCAAAGAUUCUCCUGUUUGUUCAAGAUUAUUUCCCCACUGCCACAAACAUCACCAGAGCCAACCAAGUCUCACAACCAAAGGACCUGGUGUAGUACCAAGAUGGAGAACAGUGGGAAAGAGGUUGCACAGUACUGUCAUUAAGCACAUUGUAUAAACUUCCAGACAUUUUACAAGCAAGCUGCCCUUCCACCUGACCCAGCUUUCUCUUCUCACCACUGUCAUACUUUGGAACUGAACUCAGGUAUCUAUACUGCCACCCUCUCCAAUCCCACACCUGUCCCAAGUUAGAUAUAUCUAUAGAAACCUACACAUGCUUCAUAAUUGCAUUUAUCAUACCAUGUUAAUAUAUGUUAUGCACAUGCAUAUUAUAUGUACAUACAGAUGUGUGUAUAUGUGUUUUCCACCAUACUAUUCCUUUCACAUCUUGUACUAAUAAUUUUUUUUAACCUUGAAGAACACUGCUGUGGAGGUGUUCACACUUUCUCACACAUCCCAGUAUCAUAGAGUCUAAAGAUGGAAUAAGUGACUUGCUGGUUUCCCAUUUCAUCUUCUUCCGAAAUGCCUCUUUCUUCCUUCACAAAUUGCUGCCUUUUGAAGUAUCUAUUAUCAGACUUUAACAGUCAUUAAUUGCUGUUACUGUUAUCCUCAAAAUCAUCAAUGGCUUUAAUUUCUGGCCCACAAGGUUUCUUCCCUACCACUUUUCCUGGCAUGGUUUUGGCACGUUGAACCUCCACAAAAGUGACCAGCCAGUAUCAUGGCUGAUCAGAUCUUUUAACUCCUUUGUUCCUACUCUUUGGUCCUUCUCCCUGUUCCAAACAUCCAUUUCCAUGGUCUCACUCAAGACUUUGUCAUCAUCAGUAAUUGCAACACCUUCAAAAAAUCUAGAUUAGAAAUAGUCCAUUCCCUGAUGAUUACCCAACUUAAUCCAACAUAUUUAUAUGCUUAGUUAAGGCUCCAAGCUGAUGACCCUAUUAGUUUUUCUUUAUCCAUUACUUACUUCUUUCACGUUUCAUGUAUGGUUGGGAUUACAUUGUUUAGCACUAUUACACUCUUUGCAAACACUUAACUCCUUUGUCCCACAGCCUCCUUAAAACUUAGGAAAAAAUAUUAAUUCUGAUGAAAUCCAACUAGGUGCAGUCGACUCUACGACUGCACCUAAGCAGUAGUGUGUUCCUGUUGAAAAUAACACAGUUAUGCACUCUGAACUCAUUUCAGAUUGAUGACUCUGCUCUCAAAUGGUAGCUCACAUUAAUGUGUAUCAAAUUAAUACAGAUACACCUGACUACAGGUCCUAAAUAAACUCACUUUCCCCUUAUAGUAAAAACAGUUUCACAGCUCUCUAGCACUUCCACCUUUUCUCACUCUAAUCUGUGGUAUCUCCUCACAUUUCCUAAACAAAAAAGACACAGUUGGCUUCACAAACUCCUGGACUCCUAAAACCAACUCUACAGACAUAUCUGCAUCAGUACUACAAAGCCUGACCUUUCUCAUUCCAGAAGAUUCCUUGCUCCUUUCUAAGGUUGUUCUUUCCAUUUAUGCUUUGGGCAUCCAUCUCUCUGGUCUUCUCAUGGAAAAUUCUACUCUCUGUACUGGAUUAUUCACAUUGCCUGCCAUAACUUACAAUAUUCUACUUUCAAAAUACCUUCUCUAUUCUGUUCCUUCCUUCAGUAACCAACCCAUUUCUGUUAUUUUCAUAGUAAGUACACUUUAAAAAGAGUUGUCUAGACUAGCUAUAUACAAUGUGUUUUGCCUUCUAUAUAUCUAUUCCACUUACUCCGAAGAAGGUUAUGUGGCAACACUUCAUUGAAAUGACCUUAUCCAUGUUUGCAAUGACCUACAAUUUAGAGGAAAUGUGGCCCAAGCCCAAUUUUUCUAAACGUAUUGUUACGGAGCCAAUAAAAUGUAACAGUGCACACAUUUCUUACCUGCCCUGGAGACACAGUGUAAUAGUGACGAGUGUCUUGGAUAUGACUUGGGUGAAGCUUUAAUAUCAACAAGUAAAUUGCUAUGAAACUGUAAGGAAGCAUCCUAUAUGUUGUAAAUGUAUUUACUUAAAACAUGGUGAAUAGUAAGAAAAAGAUAAUCAUUUGAAUCAGUUAUAGAUUUCUUGUUAUCUAAAUGAUUCUAGUAUAGCAGGCCUAUGAAUAUCAAAAUGGUAAUCCUAUUAGGAAUUAUAAGGUCAUUGAUAAUGUCAGCCUCUAUAUACAGGAAUACAAAUAUAAAAUGGAAUAAUAAUUGUAAAGUAUUUCCUCUAGCCAUCCAUAGUUCCUGAUGCAUGCCCAACUGACCCUGGUAAGAAGGGCACUACAAUGUCAAUGUUCUUAUGUCUAAAAAAGUAUCCCAAAAACAUGGAACAAAUUUUACCAUAUUGAGAGAAGAAUUAUGGUGUAAUUAAUUAAU